rnacentral:rRNA from 1 species
AAACUCAAUAAUUUGACGGUUAUUAUUAUCAUAAAGGAGCUUGUAAUUUAAUCGAUACUACACGAACUAUUUUACUUAUAUUAAUUUUGUAUACCUCCGUACUAAUCUUAUACAAAAUUGUAUUAAUUAUUAAAAAUAAUCUAAGUUUAUAUUUCAGGUCAAGGUGCAGUAUAUAUAAGAUAUUAUGUGCUUUAAUAACUAAUUAAUUAGAUGAGUUUAAUUUGAAACAGUUAAAUUAAGUGAAUUUAUAAGUAAAAAUAAAUAAAAUAUUUUUUUGAAAGCAAAAUAAUUAUGUACACAU